rnacentral:rRNA from 1 species
UGGGGAAUAUUGGGCAAUGGGGGAAACCCUGACCCAGCAACGCCGCGUGAGGGAAGAAGGUUUUCGGAUUGUAAACCUCUGUUCUUGGAGAAGAGAAGGAGACGGUAUCCAAGGAGGAAGCCCCGGCUAACUACGUGCCAGCAGCCGCGGUAAUACGUAGGGGGCGAGCGUUGUCCGGAAUGAUUGGGCGUAAAGGGCGCGUAGGCGGCCGAGCAAGUCAGUAGUGGAAGUCCAAUUUUCAAGGUUGGAAGUGCUAUUGAAACUGCAGGGCUUGAGUGCAGGAGAGGUUAUCGGAAUUCCCGGUGUAGCGGUGAAAUGCGUAGAGAUCGGGAGGAACACCAGUGGCGAAGGCGGGUAACUGGACUGCAACUGACGCUGAGGCGCGAAAGUGUGGGGAGCAAACAG